CAGGUACUUGAAAUUCUUUCAUAUUACUCACGAACAAUUAAAUUAUCACUUCUCCAAUCAAUUGCAUUAUUGUUCAUCUUUAGCUUCAUUAUUCUUUUUCUGUCAUAGUCUUUAUCCUGGGGAAAAUAUUCUGAGGCAUCUUUUUAUAAUUCUUUUUUUCAGUAAAUCAUUGUUUCGAUGCCUAACAAAAUGGCAUAGGCAUGAAUGAGCUAACACUGAUAUAAGAAAUUUAGAAUGAUGGUUUGUUCCAUCUGAAAUCCUAUUCUGCUUGCAGAAAUUCCACUAGCAUGUGCCAAAUGCCAGAUGUCAAAAAUGCUUUUAUCCUGCAGUCCUCAACUUCCGUACUAAGCUGCAAUUCGCAUUAGUAAUGAUUUGCCAUGAAGUAACUUUCCAAUCCGUUUGAACCUGGGGGAAAACUGUAUUACUUUUUGCAGACCAUAUCUGUUACACUUGUUGCAGCCAAAGCUAAACAUCUCACCUUUCUAUGCUGCCAUUGUUGUUGCAAAAUUUGGUCAUCUAUUGAAUUUAGUCACUGGUUGAAUUUAAAAGAAAACCAUGCCUACUGGUUGAAUCCCACACCAAUUCUGACCACAACACGUAUGAUGUCAGUCUUUGAAAAUCUGCACGCACUUAGAAUUGACAAGAUUCCUUCCUAGUUGGCAUCUGAACUGUCUCAUUUUAUCAUCAUAGAUAGCUUAAUUUAUUCAAUUAAUUGGCUAACGGGUUGAAAAUGCAAGUCAUUCACCGUGGGUAAUCUCCAUCUCCCAUUACUCUAGAAUCACAAACUUUGGCAUGUAGAGAGAUCAGUUUCAUCAUAUAAUCAACCCCAAGCAACCAAUCAUGCAAGUAAAUUUUUCUGGUUUACUAAGAAAAUGCUUGAUCAACUUCUCUUUAUUAAUCCUCAACUCCAAUAAUUUACCAAAUCCAGCUUCAAUCCUAUAGAAAUGUGAACCCCGAAUCUUCUUAUUCUUUGAAAAUCCAAAUGCUUUUCUUCUUAAGCUUUGUGUUAAGCAUCUAUUGCACCCUAAGUUUUGCCUUGAUGUGCUAGUAUGUUUUACAUGCUAGCCUUAUUUCAUAUUUGUACGCAUUCAAACUGCUACUCAUCCUAGUUUUAUUGCAACAGGACACUCUAGGCUACAUAACCUACUUCUUUUGUUGAGUCUGGACCUUCCCGGAGAAACUUUCUACAGCUCUACUCCUCAAAUAGUAGCUAUGGAGAUAAUAAACACUGCUCAAAUAUAUGUGCAUGCUUGCUGAAACUGAUUGCUCAUCCUGCACUUUCCUAGCAUCAAACAAGAAUUUAGCUAUUCAAUAUUCAGUUCUUUACCAAAAUGUGGCAGUUUUUGGAAAACUUGCUUGAAGCAAGAGGAACUCGUAGGAAUUCAACAGUUAGCUUCCCUUGAAGAAUAUCAUGAUUUGUUCUAUUAGUAUCAGUUGUCUCCUGUUAAAAAUUGGCUUUUAGUAAAAUUAGCACUAGAGAAAUCUGAUAGAAAUCUUCAAGGGCAACUUUUGAUUGUUUCACAGACCUCCCCAUUGCAAAAAGCAAUUUACCAUCUGCAUAUAUUAUGUGUUUUGGCCCAAGGAUGGAAGUGAAAGUCCAAAAACUACUUACCUUCUUAAUGCAUCUAGAGGAGUACUUCUUGGCAAUUGUGAAGAAAUAAGAACUAGUCUCCUGGCUUCAACUCUCAGCUUCUAGAAAUGUAAUCAAAUAGGUAACCACUCACAAAGAUGAAGAAUUUAGAAGUGGUGACGCAAGGCAUUAUUGAUGUCAUAAAGAGGGAAGUGUUGGGCACGAAGCAUCUCUUCUAGAAACUCUUCUCUAUUUGUCUCAUAGGCUUUUCUGAGAGGCUCUAAUCUUAUAUUAUACUGAAAUAAUUAUUAUGAUGAUAGUUACGAAAUAGAUUUGUCUGCUAGCAAGUUUUAUCUGAUAUCCUUAUUUCAACUUGAGUUUUUUUAGUGAGAUUAGGAAACAUAUUUGAUCUUUCAGUAGACUUUGAAAGUGCACUUAAAAAGUAUUUCACAACAUAAUAUAGACCAAAAAUCAUUCGUACUGGAAAGCAAUCACAUUUAGGAACAAGUUUAAUAGAACUGCUGUUUAUUUAAUUAAUUAAUUAUUUAUUUAUUUAUUUCUCAAAACCUAAAUUGAUAGAAAGAAAUUCUUGAUAGACACAUCUUACUGCUAAUUUUGUUCCUUUUAAGAGUUUAAUUGGAUCAAGGUAGAAGAUUUAGUGUUUUGUUGAUUGCAAUAAAUAUUGGGGGCUUAAAUUCAGGGUUUUUUUUUUUUUUUUAAACUUUUUAGCCUAAUUGGUACAAUGGAACUAGUUAAGGUCAAAAUAGCAUGUAUGAUUUAUUUGUAACUCAAAGGUAACAUGAUGACUAACUAUGUGAUGACAAAUGAAGCAUAACAUCACUUAAUAGUAUUAAAAAAUUAUCUCAAAUUUUAAAGACAAAGAAUACAAGAUACUUUACUAGAAGACUUAACUAAAGGCUGAAAAAAACAUUACUUAAGGAAUUAAUUAUAACUAGCCACUCAGCUGAAAAUCAUAACUCAGACUUUCCAAAAUCUCCAGAAAACAUCAAUUAGCAUUAAAGUUGCAUGUGGGCUUAAAACAUGGAAAUCCACUUGCAAAUGCUUUUAUGUUCAAAGGCCACUUCAAAGUCAUCUUUGAACUGAUUCAAUAACUUGUGAAACUUUAAAUAUUCAAAUCAGUGGUCAUGAACAAAUCUGACCUUAAAACAAUUAAACAAUACAAAUGAUCAAUUAACCCAUUUUUCAUAGACUUCUAACCUAUUGAAACCUUGAAAUGGUCAGUAACCUAAGAAAACUUAUCACAAAUCAAGGUCGUAACUUCAAACCACUGAACUCAGCCUUAAAAAGGCAAAACUAAGCUUUAAAAACCAAAAUUUGGUAUUCAAAUGCUAUCUGGAGAAGGAAGAAUGAGUUUCUCUCUUUCUUUCUGAUUUUAGAGUAGUUUGGCUUUAUUUUAAACACUUGGGAUUUGAAUCAGAUAGUAAGGAUGGAUAAACUUUAGACACUUGGCAAUGUGUUGUACAAGCAUAUCUUAUUUAUCAGAUUUAAGUGAUGAAUCAUCAAUCAAAAUGGGUUGGCAGCUAGCACUUAAUGACUGCUUAUAGCAUGAGGUGUUAAAAUUGUAUCAAUCUUGCAAAAUCCUGUAAUGUUUCUGAACCUAUCCCAUAAAUUUCAGUAUUUUCAAGUAAUCACUUCAAUGAUUGGUAAUUUAUAACUUUAGCACAUGAAUGAUCUGCAAUUCAUAAAGUAGUUCCUCAAAGUUUUGCAAUUCAUAAAUUAGCACCUCAAAAUUUUCAUAAUUAUAAAUCUAUAAUGUCGGAUUUUUAGUUGCCACCCUCUACUUGUUUUCCUAUUUCUAAGCCUUACAUCAUAAAGAAAA
rnacentral:lncRNA from 1 species